rnacentral:rRNA from 1 species
CGGACGAGAAGCUUGCUUCUCUGAUGUUAGCGGCGGACGGGUGAGUAACACGUGGAUAACCUACCUAUAAGACUGGGAUAACUUCGGGAAACCGGAGCUAAUACCGGAUAAUAUUUUGAACCGCAUGGUUCAAAAGUGAAAGACGGUCUUGCUGUCACUUAUAGAUGGAUCCGCGCUGCAUUAGCUAGUUGGUAAGGUAACGGCUUACCAAGGCAACGAUGCAUAGCCGACCUGAGAGGGUGAUCGGCCACACUGGAACUGAGACACGGUCCAGACUCCUACGGGAGGCAGCAGUAGGGAAUCUUCCGCAAUGGGCGAAAGCCUGACGGAGCAACGCCGCGUGAGUGAUGAAGGUCUUCGGAUCGUAAAACUCUGUUAUUAGGGAAGAACAUAUGUGUAAGUAACUGUGCACAUCUUGACGGUACCUAAUCAGAAAGCCACGGCUAACUACGUGCCAGCAGCCGCGGUAAUACGUAGGUGGCAAGCGUUAUCCGGAAUUAUUGGGCGUAAAGCGCGCGUAGGCGGUUUUUUAAGUCUGAUGUGAAAGCCCACGGCUCAACCGUGGAGGGUCAUUGGAAACUGGAAAACUUGAGUGCAGAAGAGGAAAGUGGAAUUCCAUGUGUACGGUGAAAUGCGCAGAGAUAUGGAGGAACACCAGUGGCGAAGGCGACUUUCUGGUCUGUAACUGACGCUGAUGUGCGAAAGCGUGGGGAUCAAACAGGAUUAGAUACCCUGGUAGUCCACGCCGUAAACGAUGAGUGCUAAGUGUUAGGGGGUUUCCGCCCCUUAGUGCUGCAGCUGACGCAUUAAGCACUCCGCCUGGGGAUACGACCG